GGAAAGAGUUUGCUGUUGCAAACCUGAAUAAAAAUGAUCCAGAAAACCAAAAGAAAGAACUGGAAAAGCAGAUGGAAAGGUUCAAGACCACGCUGAAGAAAGAAAAUCUGACUCCUGAAGACUUGGCCAAGGCAGAACUAUCUAUUAUUCAGUUUGCACAACAACAGAAAUUUACAACUGAAAUAGCUUUAAUCACUAGUGGCCUUAAAACAGUAUCCAAGAGAAGUUCUCUAUACAAACUUGACCCAGUAUUGGAUGCUGGGGUCCUCAGAGUGGGUGGCAGGUUGAAUAAAGCAGCCAUGCCUGUAGAAGCAAAGCAUCCUGUAAUUUUGACAAAGGAUAUGUAUAUGUCUACCCUCAUUUUACACCAUAUUCAUCAACAGUUGGGACAUGCAGGAAGAGCUCAUAUGCUGUCAAGACGUAACAGAGGAAAGUUUAUUGAACAAAAGAUGGCAGAUCUGCCAGAAGAAAGGGUUCUGCCAGCCACCGCUCCUUUCACAAAUGUUGGAGUGGAUUAUUUUGGUCCUAUAAGUGUUAAAAGAGGACGAAGUCUCCUGAAAAGUUCGCAGGUUCAUCUGUAGAAGAGGCCCAGUUUCCACCAUCAGAUCUGAUAAUGCCACAAAUUUUGUUGGUGCAAAUCGAGAGCUGAAAGAGAGUUUGGCUGAACUGAACCAUGCUAAAAUUCAAAAUGCUUUUGUGCAGGAUGGAAUCAAAUGGAACUUUAACAUCCCAGCAGCCUCUCACCAAGGUGGAGUUUGGGAGCGUCUGAUUCGUUCCAUAAGAAGCAUUUUAGUCUCAGUUCUUAAAGAACAAGUUUUGGAUGAUGAAGGACUUCAAACAAUCUUUUGUGAAGUUGAAGCCAUAUUAAACGACAGACCUAUUACC